AGCAAAAUACUUUGCAAUUUUACCUGCACUAAUGAUGUCAACAAUUCC
rnacentral:sRNA from 1 species